AGGAAGGAGAAAGACAUAGAUGGCGAGCACGCCAUGUUAGAGAAGGAAAGCCAGGCCGGCUAAGAACAUCCAUACGCCCUGAUUGACAAGGAAGAGCAGAAAGCGCACACCUCCUGAUCUGCAUCCAUUACAGAGUUCAGUCUGGUGUGAGCAUUCACGCCUACAGCACUGUCCAGCGGCUUCCUGCUCUGCACCAGGCGCCUGCCCUCUGCUCACACUCUGGCACCUUCAUCGGUUCUCUGCCUGCAUAUCAAGCAUGAGGAGCUGGCUUCCAUGGCUCCUGAGAAUAAACUCAGGUUUAAUCAACUUGAUACCUGUUUUUAUUAUGGCAACCUGUAACCUAGAUGUGUCUAUAAAGCCACCCAAUUUAAAGGUCGAUUUGUCAUUCCUCUUGUCAAGUUAAUAAAAUUAACAAUUAAGGCUG
ensembl:lincRNA 1700003I22Rik RIKEN cDNA 1700003I22 gene